UGUAGUAAACGUGCGUCUCGAUUCCUGCGAAUUGAAUCCACCACUAGAGGUAUCCACGUGCAUGUCGAUUCGAUGCAGGAACAAUUCCCAGUGCAUGUUUCAAUCUUCGACAGCUAGGAAAUCUCCGAUUGAAACCAUAGUACUCUCUAGGUGUUUUCUCUUCUAAUGUUUUCGUAUAUUUUCAUAUAUGAUUCGUAAGACCAAGCUCCCUUAUUUAUAAGCGAAGAAGACAAUUCUAAAUUGUCUUGUCUUCCUUAGUCAACAAUUACGACUAAGGAAUUCACACUUGAGUCAACAAUUACGACUAAGGAAUUCACACUUGAACUGUCUUACUUAGUAUUAGAAUAUAUCAAAUAUAUCCUAAUCUAGUCCAUAAUAUCUUUCAAUCUCCCACUUGGACUAGCAUUAGUUUGAAGUCCAAGCAUUGAAGUUUGCACUCUUGAGCGAAUCAACAAUACACAUAAAGUGUGACCCUUUAGGCCUCCAUUAUUCGACGAUAAUCAAAUUAAAGUCUACACAAAACUCCUAGACUGCGUUGUGUAGCGAACUCGAUAUAUGAAGAACGUUUACGUGGAUUCUAUAAACAAACCUUUAUAUGAAGUNCUCGAUCCUUGCCGUGAAUCCACUACUAAGGUAUCCACGUGCAUGUCGAUUCGAUGCAGGAACAAUUCCCAGUGCAUGUUUCAAUCUUCGACAGCUAGGAAAUCUCCGAUUGAAACCAUAGUACUCUCUAGGUGUUUUCUCUUCUAAUGUUUUCGUAUAUUUUCAUAUAUGAUUCGUAAGACCAAGCUCCCUUAUUUAUAAGCGAAGAAGACAAUUCUAAAUUGUCUUGUCUUCCUUAGUCAACAAUUACGACUAAGGAAUUCACACUUGAGUCAACAAUUACGACUAAGGAAUUCACACUUGAACUGUCUUACUUAGUAUUAGAAUAUAUCAA
rnacentral:lncRNA from 1 species